CGAGCGGUCCUAUCAGCAGUCGAGCGGAUCUUCUUUAACUUGCUUUUGUGAUCUUCGCCGGACGGGUGAGUAACACGUGGGCGACCUGCCUGUGAGACUGGGAUAACUUCUGGAAACCGGAGCUAAUACCGGAUAAUCCUUUCCCUCCCAUGAGGGAAAGCUGAGAGACGGGUUCUGCUGUCUCUUACAGAUGGGCCCGCGGCGCAUUAUCUAUUUGGUGAGGUAAUGGCUCACCAAGGCGACAAUGCGUAUCCGACCUGAGAGGGUGAUCGGCCACACUGGGACUGAGACACGGCCCCCACUCCUACGGGAGGCAGCAGUAGGGAAUCUUCCCCAAUGGACGAAAGUCUGACAGAGCAACGCCCCGUGAGCGAUGAAAGCCUUCUGGUCGUAAAGCUCUGUUGUCAGGGAAAAACAAGUACCGGAGUAACUGCGGGUACCUUGACGGUACCUGACCACAAAGCCACGGCUAACUACAUGCCACCACCCGCGGUAAUACAUAUGUGGCAAGCGUUGUCCGGAAUUAUUGGGCGUAAAGCGCGCGCACGCGGUUCCUUAAGUCUGAUGUGAAAGCCCCCGGCUCAACCGGGGAGGGUCAUUGUAAACUGGGGAACUUGAGUGCGCAAAAGAAGAGCGGAAUUCCACGUGUAUCGGUGAAAUGCGUAUAGAUGUGUAGGAACACCAGUGGCGAAAGCGGCUCUCUGGUCUGUAACUGACACUGAGGCGCGAAAGCGUGUGGAGCGAACAGGAUUAUAUACCCUGGGAGUCCACGCCGUAUACGAUGAGAGCUAAGUGUUAUAGGGUUUCCGCCCUUUAUUGCUGCAGCAAACACAUUAUACACUCCGCCUGGGGAGUACGGGCGCAAGGCUGAGACUCUCAGGAGUUGAGACGGGGCCCGCACAAGCGGUGGAGCAUGUGGUUUUAAUUUCUAAGCAACGCGCAGAACAUUAUCACCAUCUUGAGAUCCUCCUGACAACCCCUAUAGAUAAGAGCAGUUCCCCUCUCUCGG
rnacentral:rRNA from 2 species